UACGUAGGGUGCGAGCGUUGUCCGGAAUUACUGGGCGUAAAGAGCUCGUAGGUGGUUUGUCGCGUUGUUCGUGAAAACUCACAGCUUAACUGUGGGCGUGCGGGCGAUACGGGCAGACUGGAGUACUGCAGGGGAGACUGGAAUUCCUGGUGUAGCGGUGGAAUGCGCAGAUAUCAGGAGGAACACCGGUGGCGAAGGCGGUGAGCGUGGGCAGUAACUGACGCUGAGGAGCGAAAGCGUGGGGAGCGAACAGG
rnacentral:rRNA from 1 species